rnacentral:rRNA from 1 species
GCAUAUCAAUAAGCGGAGGAAAAGAAACCAACAGGGAUUGCCCUAGUAACGGCGAGUGAAGCGGCAACAGCUCAAAUUUGAAAUCUGGCCCUAGCGGUCCGAGUUGUAAUUUGCAGAGGAUGCUUUUGGCGCGGCGCCUUCCGAGUUCCCUGGAACGGGACGCCAUAGAGGGUGAGAGCCCCGUACGGUUGGAUGCCUAGCCUAUAUAUAGCUCCUUCGACGAGUCGAGUAGUUUGGGAAUGCUGCUCUAAAUGGGAGGUAAAUUUCUUCUAAAGCUAAAUACCGGCCAGAGACCGAUAGCGCACAAGUAGAGUGAUCGAAAGAUGAAAAGCACUUUGAAAAGAGGGUUAAACAGCACGUGAAAUUGUUGAAAGGGAAGCGUUUGCGACCAGACCUUCUCCAGGGGGAUCAUCCGGCGUUCUCGCCGGUGCACUUCCCCUGGUUUAGGCCAGCAUCGGUUUUCUCAGGGGGAUAAAGGCCUGGGGAACGUAGCUCCUUAGGGAGUGUUAUAGCCCCUGGCGCAAUACCUCUUAGGGGACCGAGGACCGCGCUCUGCAAGGAUGCUGGCGUAAUGGUCGUCAACGACCCGUCUUGAAACACGGACC